UACGUAGGGUGCAAGCGUUAUCCGGAUUUACUGGGUUUAAAGGGUGCGCAGGCGGAUAUGUAAGUCAGUGGUGAAAUCUCUAGGCUUAACCUGGAAAUUGCCGUUGAUACUAUAUAUCUUGAAUGCUGUGGAGGUAAGCGGAAUAUGUCAUGUAGCGGUGAAAUGCUUAGAUAUGACAUAGAACACCUAUUGCGAAGGCAGCUUACUACGCAGAUAUUGACGCUCAUGCACGAAAGCGUGGGGAUCAAACAGG
rnacentral:rRNA from 1 species